AGGUCUUUAUCUGUUACAAAUUUACCUCCAACUCCACCUCAAGUGCUACAUAUUGCAUCAAUGAUGAAUAGAAAUUUGGGACAACUACCAGUUUCUAACAACUCAUAUUCCCCAGAUGUUUCUUUUCAAAUAUUGCCCUCUCCAUUGCUUCAAAAGACAAGCAGUAGUAGUUGCUCACUUAACUCAUCCCAACAUCAUGAAAAGUCAUCACAGCUGAGAGAAGAACAAUUAUUAUGUAGUACAUCUACUAUAUCUAAUGACUGUAAUAUUGAUGUCAACAAGAAAUGAAAAUUGUACAAGAAAAUCACACUGCAAUACUUAAUAGUCUAUUAAGACACAACAGCAUCAACUAUCAGGCUUCACAGUUGCCUGAAGACGUCACUCUUUUGUUACCUUUAAAGUGUUUAAAAGCUGUGGAAGAGUUUGAGGAUAAGCUGAAAAAUCCUGAUAUUUUUAAAACAGUGGUUGUAUGGUUAAGUGAUCAAGGAGGUCGAAAUCUUGUAGAGGCUACCGGUCGCAUGAUGGCAAAGCUAAUGACAAAUGAGUUAGCCCAAAGUUGUAACCUUUGUGGUCGGAAUGGUAAAAAAGGUCUUAAAGGAUCGUUAUUGUUUCUUAUUCUUACUAAGGCUAUAAAGAGAAAUAUACUGACAUCAAAGUUGAAUGUAAGAGAUAUUGAAAUCAGUCUAUCCAAUUGGCUCAUCGGUUCAGGUGAUCGGGAUGGCAAUCGAGCUAAACGUGCCACAGCCUCCAAAAACAAAAGUAGAGAAGUACACCCAGACAUAAAUGCUUCUGACAAAGAAGAUUAAUAUAUGUUAAAUAUAUCUAUAUAUAAAUAGAAAAGUUCUUAAAAAAAUUCUGACAAAGAAGAUUAAUAUAUAUUAAAUAUAUCUUUAUAUAAAUAGAAAAAUUAGAAGUAUGAAAUUUAUACUUUAUAACAUUUAUGCAGUGUAUUAUUAAAUAAUAACAAUGUGAUUAUGUAAGUCAAUUGCAAGAUAUAUUGCAUAUAUUGGUGUUUCAUUAAAGUUACUUUUAAACAUAUUGCAUGCGGGACACAUAUUAGUAUGUUUUAUAAUAUUUGAUGCUUGAGCACAGGACACAUACUAGUACAUUUUCUGAAAGUUGUUACUUGAAUGCUUGUCCUGUACUAGCAAGGCCGGCGCGAUGGGGGUGUGUGGGGGUUGAUACACACACACACCCCAUCAAUAAUUUUGUUGUUCGUUUAGUCUGCAAAUUUGACCCAUUUUGACUAGUUAGUUGACAAAUGUAGACCCUUUUGACAAGUUAGUCGGUAAAUUUAAACAGUCAGUUGGUAUGUAUCAUUAUGGCAGUCGGUAAAUGUCGUUAUGGCAAAUCUUAAAAAACGAAGACCUUUCUUUUUAUUUAUUUUUUAGUCGGCAAAAGUUGUAAUGGCACCACCCACCUACGUGAUACCUACUCGUGCCGGCCCUGUGUACUAGUAUAGAUUAGUGUAACAACAUGGUUUUUUCUGUAUUUCUUUAUAUUAUCUGUAUUUUAGUGUUUAAAAAAAGCUGCUGCUGCAAAAUGUACCUGCAAACAAUGUGUUAAAUGAUUCGGAUGAAAUAGUUCUACUGGUAAGCCAACAAGCUAAGUCUAAUCUUGCAUUGAAAAAAAUAUUGUUUGGACUUUAGGAUAGCAGCAACUUCCAAAGACCAAGAAAAAAAUUAAAGUUUUCAAAAAAAGGGAGAAUUCGCUCACCAAAAGUUGGUUACUAACGUGAUCAAGGAGGUUGUACUCUUGUGGAGAAUACUGGCCGUAAUAGUGCUGUAAUGACAAUAAACACAAAUACAUAUGAAUCGAAGUAAAUAUAACUCCAGAAAAUUUAAACUGUAACGAGGAAUGCACAUCAAUGAUUGAAUGUCCUCACAUUGUGACUUGGCUUUGCGUCACAAGACUGAGAUGACAAACAAGCUAAAUGUGCUAAAGCCUUCAAAAACAAGGCUUCAUCGAGAAGUACCUUUGCACAUAGAAUGAUGAAUAAUAUGAAAUAUAUAAUAUAUUAUAAUA